AAACUGCGAUAAGUAGUGUGAAUUGCAUUUAGUGAAUCAUCGAAUCUUUGAACGCACCCUGCACUCACUGGUAUUCCGGUGAGUACGCCUGUUUCAGUAUCAUUGAAAACACACAAUCAAAACAUUUUCUUUGGUUUGAUUGGCUUUGGGUCUAUCAAAAAGUUUGGCUUGUUUCUUACAAGCCAAGCGGCCUGAAAUAUAUUGUCUGGCUAAUUGCAUCGUUGAUGAUCGCUAUUAGACUUUGGCUUUUUUAAAUGAACUGGAGGUUGAUUAACCAGUUUUAGAUUUAGUCAAAUGGUCAUUGUAAAAAAAAUCUCGAUCUUGGCUAGGUGUUUAUAGCCGAAAAUUUUUUUUUGGCUAUAACCGAAACCAAUAUAAUCACAUUUAGUUAUCGAUCUGAAAUCAGGUGGGACUACCCGCUGAACUUAAGC
rnacentral:misc_RNA from 1 species